rnacentral:misc_RNA from 1 species
UUUUGAAAGAGGAAAAGAUUUGACUUCUCUAAACCAUUAAGACCAUAAAUUUAUGAUGGCGAUAGUGUACAUUGAAAAAACACUAAAUAAAACAACUAUUAAUAAGAAAAUACAACAUAGCAGAAAUAAGUUAAAUGCCUUGAAUACAACAACUAUUCAAGCCAAAACAAGACUGGAUCGUCUAUCACAGCUUCUGUGCACAAAUAAUAAAAGUUGUUGCCAAUGACUAGUUCCUGCUUGCUCUGGUUCGUUUGGCACUUCUAUUCAAGGGUGUGACAUCUACAUCCUGGCCAGGUUCUUCAUUGUUCUCUUUGUCAUUUUCCUUAUCUUCAUUGUCUUCUGACUCGUACGCCCUUAUAAUGUACACCUUAAAUUCCCUAGGGCUGACUAGCUGGAACACUAGUGCAUCUCCAUCAACCAGUUUAUGAUCUAUAGCAAACCCUCUCCACCCAGCACUAAGACCAGUUUUCUGAGCAAGGUAUUUUGUUUCAGAUGCAUCUCCAUUCUCAUCAACCAAAGUAAUAUAUUCAUCACGAGAAGGAAGAUGAUCUUUGCAGAACUGAACUGGCAAACCCAGCCAAAAUCCUCCAGUUACAUGCGACUGAGUCAUGGGUUUCACAAAACUGGGGAAAUCAGCUUCUAAACCUGAUUGAACCUGUUCUGCUCUAUCUAUUGCAUAUGCCCUGACUUCAUCAGAAGCAUAGAUCCGAUUCAACAGAUCUCUCCGCUGGUAACUGUAGCUCCUUCUGGGUCUCUCCAAAGGUUCAGGUGCGACCUCCUUAUAGCUAACAGGGGUCUUGUCUGCGAAACGAGAGGACCUCCUCACUGGUACCAACUCUGUUGAUGAUCGAGGAAGCCUUGGUUUCACCUGCUUCGCUGGAGAAGUCUUAGGACUGGUCGUACGGAGAUCAACAGCAAGCUUUUUCAAGUUAAGCUCUUCCAUUCUUUUCUUGUUUUCUUCCAGCCUCUUUUGACGGAUUUCCUCAUACUUGGACUUAGAUACCACCAUGUUUCUUUGGUUUUUUCAGAGCUGGGAAUGAACAAGUGAUACCAGAAAAUGUGCGAAGGAGAUGAAGAGGCCAGAAAUUAGAAAUGGAAGAUUGGCCGUGUGUUUUUCUUCUUUUUUCUUUUGGAAAGAGAAAAAAAAAAAAAAGAUAAAAUCUCUCUUCUGCUUUCGCUUGUUCGGGAGUUCCGACAGCAAGGGUGUGGCACUGUGGCAGCG